GGCGAGUAACACGUGGAUAACCUACCUAUAAGACUGGGAUAACUUCGGGAAACCGGAGCUAAUACCGGAUAAUAUUUUGAACCGCAUGGUUCAAAAGUGAAAGACGGUCUUGCUGUCACUUAUAGAUGGAUCCGCGCUGCAUUAGCUAGUUGGUAAGGUAGCGGCUUACCAAGGCAACGAUGCAUAGCCGACCUGAGAGGGUGAUCGGCCACACUGGAACUGAGACACGGUCCAG
rnacentral:rRNA from 1 species